GCGGAGCAUGUGGCUUAAUUUGACUCAACGCGGGAAAUCUUACCGGGUCCGGACACACUGAGGAUUGACAGAUAUACGCUGCGUUAUGUCUCUCACGGGACUGCGUGGCUCAAAGAUGCUAGUUCUUUCAUGAUUAUGUGAUAGGUGGUGCAUGGCCGUUCUUAGUUCGUGGAGUGAUCUGUCUGCUUAAUCGCGUAUCAAUAAUAGAGACCUAGUACACGUGCAUUACUCAUGUGGUAGUGACCCCCUCUUCGCGGAGGCGCGUGUCGCACAUAUGGUAUGCGCACUGGUCUCAGAUAGCGACGAACGUGACCGUAUUCUAUUGUUGCAGUGAAUUAUACGUGCUGCUCUUUACCGAGUUAGUUACAUCCCACUGCUUAGUGUGCGCGGCGUAUUUCGGUACUCGCGUCACACAUUAAACUAUAGAGACCGCUGUUUCUUCUUUAAACCAGAGGAAGGAUAC
rnacentral:rRNA from 1 species